rnacentral:tRNA from 1 species
AAAAGCAUCCUAAUGAUAUAUUAAUCUCAAAAAAAGGGGGAUAUGGCGAAAUUGGUAGACUUUGAGUAAGAGGAAAAUCCGUCGACUUUAAAAAUCGUGAGGGUUCAAGU